rnacentral:misc_RNA from 1 species
UACGUAGACCUCGAACGUUGUCCGGAUUCAUUGGGCGUAAAGCGUCCGCAGGUGGUCUGAAAAGUACGUGGUCAAAUCCUGGUGCUUAACAUCAGGACUGCCAUGUAAACUGGCAGACUUGAGGCUGGAAGAGGCAAGCGGAACAUACGGUGUAGUCGUAAUAAGCGCUGAUAUCGUAUGGAACACCAAAGGCGAAGGCAGCUUGCUGGUACAUGCCUGACACUCAUGGACGAAAGCGUGGGGAGCGAAUGGG